CAAUUAAUAGUUAUAAUGAAAUUAUUUUAUGUAUAUUAAUUUUAUUAAAUAAAAAUUUAACCGCCAUAUAAUAAUAAUAAUAACAACUCAUGCUACAAGUAAACUACACAAAUAAAGUCCCACUAGAUAAAAGUAAAUACAUUUAAGCGGUUUAUAAUUUACUACUUACUCUAAGAAGGACCAUAAUGAAUUAUUUUUUUUUCUCUUUUGAUAGAAGUUUGCUCUCAUAAUGGUUCUAAGACCUCGUUCUCUGUUACACCUCCGACAACCUCCCUCUGCCCCUCUAGGCAAAGGGAGAUUGACUGCUUCUCCCUAACCAGCAUGUGGGUUCCCUCCCCCACUUGGGUGGGUUGUAUAAAAUUUUUAUUGGUUUUGUAAAUAGUUAGUUUAAACGUUGAGGGAAUAUGUGUGGCUGUUAUGGUGGAGCUAUUGUUAUGCUUUGUUUCUAUGUUUUCCUUGCGUUUGUGUUAUGUUGUUUUGCAGGGUAUUUUUAUGGUAACGUUUUCUUUUUUGAUUUGGCUUUGGGUUGUGUCUUUACACUCCUUUCAGCCAUGGGUUUUGAGAGAU
rnacentral:misc_RNA from 1 species